UGAAGGCAAUGGCGGCCCUUCGUGACUAACAAGCAAGCAGACAACCACAAUCGAAACUUAAUAAGCUUAGAACCCGAACUAAAUCACGCGUAACGUCGUACGUCGUACGAAUUUUGUCUUUCUGGAAGUUCGUUGUUCGCAAAUAAUGACAUUUUAGGUUCUCAAUUCUGCGAGUCUAAACACGGCUUUCUUCCGGGCUACUGUGUGGUACACGCUUAUCGACCUGUCAGAAGAGCAACCGACCUGAUGUUGGAGGCUCAAGCACCUCUGAAACGCCGGUAAACUUCAACCAGACCGCACGGCACAACAGCCCAGAAGACAGCCAUCUUUCGCACUUUGUUUCGGGGAACCACAUUUGCACUUUAUCGCCAGUAUCUGGCUCAGACUUGAGUUCCGUGCAAGAUCGAGGUGAAUCAGUGUCGCAAAGAAAAUUAACUCUGUACUCAUUGCGCGUUCUUAUUUCACAGAUGUUUGGUUCGUGAAGCAUGUCAACGACGCAGUCGAACAGAUGGCAUCGGUUUCCACCUCACCAGAUGAGUUCUCAUUCAGCGGGGCUUUCGGGAGAAUAAAGAAGUUUCUAAACGUCGAAAAUUUCCUGGGGACCCCUCGCCAGCAGAGGACCCACUGCUGAAUGUCACGUCGGCAGCGUACACCGUCGAUGAACACUCGUACCUGAAUAUUGACCAGGAGCUGACCUUGCGGCAUGACCUCAACAAACAUUGACUACAGUUCUGGAAAGAUCUGUAUAAAUCUAUGCGCUCGUAAACGGUGAUGUGACCAUUUCAGUAUUUCUUGUAGUUGCAUCUGAAGCAUUAAAUUGGUUUGUGAAGCUA